rnacentral:rRNA from 1 species
UCGUGAAUACUGGUGGANGCUUAAGAGUAUNNGNGAGAGGNAAAGGUUAGAANUCCCANGNUUGUAAGCNGUUGAAANUGCGUUAGAGAUUCUGGGANGGAAUACCCGAUGGGUCGNAANNGGCNAGCNNNUUNNNGGCNAUNAUACAUGACNANCUNGAGGCUCGAAAGCGUGGGUAGCAAACAGGAUUAGAUACCCUGGUAGUCCACGCCGUAUACGAUGUCUACUAGUCGUUGGGUCCCUUGAGGACUUAGUGACGCAGCUAACGCAAUAAGUAGACCGCCUGGGGAGUACGGCCGCAAGGUUAAAACUCAAAUGAAUUGACGGGGGCCCGCACAAGCGGUGGAGCAUGUGGUUUAAUUCGAUGCAACGCGAAGAACCUUACCUGGUCUUGACAUAUCUAGAAUCCUGCAGAGAUGCGGGAGUGCCUUCGGGAAUUAGAAUACAGGUGCUGCAUGGCUGUCGUCAGCUCGUGUCGUGAGAUGUUGGGUUAAGUCCCGCAACGAGCGCAACCCUUGUCCAUUAGUUACCAGCGGGUUAAGCCGGGAACUCUAAGGAUACUGCCAGUGACAAACUGGAGGAAGGCGGGGACGACGUCAAGUCAUCAUGGCCCUUACGACCAGGGCUACACACGUGCUACAAUGGUAGGUACAGAGGGCAGCUACACAGCGAUGUGAUGCGAAUCUCAAAAAGCCUAUCGUAGUCCAGAUUGGAGUCUGCAACUCGACUCCAUGAAGUAGGAAUCGCUAGUAAUCGCGGAUCAGAAUGCCGCGGUGAAUACGUUCCCGGGCCUUGUACACACCGCCCGUCACACCAUGGGAGUUGAUUGCACCAGAAGUGGAUAGCUAACCUUCGGGGGAGCGUUCACCACGUUGUAUGNNUAAAGGGG